GCGAGGUGAUGAAAUAGAAAAAAGGAAGCCUGCGGGAGAAUCGAUUGUUGUUACGUAACUUGCGGGCAGUUAUCCAGCGGCUACCAUCGAGGAAAGGCUUAUACCAUCCGUUUGCUCGUUUCGAGUAUUCAGGGGUGGUUGGGUAGUCGAGAAGAGUAGUAGUUUCAGGUAUAAACGUGUCCCCCGUGUUAAGUAGUGGUAUAACGUACACGUAUCGAUCCCCGGACACGGGAGCCUCUUGAUAAUAGUGAAGAAAGGUGCCAGUGAACUAUCGCGCCUCAACUACUGCUGCUAAGUGACUAUGCUCUGGGCGGCGAACAUUUCCAAUCAAAGUAUUCUUUAUACAACCACGAAUCUAAUUUAAAUAUUUAAUCUUCCUCAAUGUUUCGAUACUUCAUUUGAGGUUAGACAUAAUUGACAGACUAGUGAUUAGUAAAAAGUCAUUAGAUGGUAGAAUGUAGGACUGGAGAUGGAAGGGUGAAUAUAGUUUUGAAUGCUGAUUAAAUUCUUCCUCUGGAUUAUCUAUGCCCAGAAACUGAAACGAUGAUCCGAAAUUUAAAAAAAUACAACCCCUAUAAAUCGGGAAGUUAAUAACUCUGGUCUCCAUAAUUUUGCAACGUUGCUCCCUAAUUAUGGUUUUGGGUAAUACCUGAUAAUCCAAAAUGGAGAACCCAAGGCCCCGCUCUCCUUUUACCAAUUCGAUGAUUUGCGGCUCGGAGCUCCACAUCGCAAGGCCAGUCAACGGUUCCAGAGAACGUG